rnacentral:misc_RNA from 1 species
GGCGCAUCCAAUCUCACACUAAACCUCUUCAAGCACCACUCCUCCGACGACACCACUCAAUCGAUCAACGGUCGCGAUCAACUAACCUCAAUUACCGCUAACUUCACAUUCAUCUCUUGAUAUCCCGCACAGCGCGGCUCUCGCUCGCUCUUUUUCUCUCCUGUCAAUCCAUUUUCUUUCUCUUACCAGAAGUUUCUUCUUCUCUUUCUGUGUUUCAAAAUCGUUGCAAAUUUUGCUUCUAAAUCCUGUCUAUUUCCUCUCUCUAUCUGGUCGCCGGAGCUCCAGAUAUCUUUUCGUGUUCAAGAGAAAUUCGAAGCAGAGAUUUAUUUCUCUGCUUUCUCCCUCUCUGUUUGAACUCACUUUAUUGUAUUUGUGCAAAUCGAGCUAGGGAUAGAGAUUUGGAUUCUACUUUGAUUUUAAUUCAAUUUCCAAUUUUCCUUUCGUGCUUUAUUUGUUGGCUGCGCUUGAAAAUGUGAAGAGAUCCCACGGUUGAAGAAACUCUGCCUCUUGAAAUGGAUAGUUCGUAGACAUAAACAGAUUCUGUGGAUUCUGGGUUUUGGAUAGAAAUCUAAGCUUUCGUAUUUCUUAUUAUAUCCUAAUUAUCAUUAUUUGGUUAUUUAAUAUCGUGAUUAAGGAGAAGAGGCGGAUACAAUGGAUACCUAUAUAGCCUUACUUUUGUCCAAAUUGCAAGUGCUAAGCACAUCUGAUCACGCAUCCGUUGUCUCUAUGAACUUAUUUGUGGCGCUUCUUUGUGCUUGUAUUGUGGUUGGUCAUCUUCUAGAGGAGAAUCGAUGGAUGAACGAAUCCAUUACUGCCCUUUUGAUUGGUUUAUGCACUGGGGUUGUUAUACUGCUAGUUAGUGGCGGAAAAAGCUCUCAUCUUUUAGUCUUCAGCGAGGAUCUUUUCUUUAUAUAUCUUCUACCACCUAUUAUAUUCAACGCUGGGUAUGUUUCUUCUUCCUUUUAAUCUUCUUUGAAACUGGUUACUUUCUCGAACUCCUUGAACAUUCUCAAAUCUGUCAUAUGUGAUUUUUGUAUAAUCUUUUCUUGGUAAUUAGCAGUGAUUCACUGAUCUUUGGUCCAGCAUUGGCAUUUUGUUCUUCAUUUAGUUAUGGUAUAAUGGUGAUAUUAACGAUUUAUUUGAAUUUUUAGUGACUGACUUCUUAAAGUCUGGUUAAGUCUUUGAUUUUUGAACCCUGCUUGCUUUGCUAGGUUUCAGGUGAAAAAGAAGCAAUUCUUUCGUAAUUUCAUCACUAUCAUGCUAUUCGGCGCUGUUGGCACACUAAUAUCAUGUUGUAUCAUAUCUAUAGGUGCUAUAAAAUCCUUUCAGAAAAUAGACAUUGGUCCCCUGGAUAUAGGGGAUUACCUAGCAAUUGGUGCCAUAUUUGCUGCAACAGAUUCUGUUUGCACAUUGCAGGUUCUGAAUCAGGAUGAGACACCUUUACUCUAUAGUCUAGUAUUUGGGGAGGGUGUUGUAAAUGAUGCUACAUCAGUGGUACUUUUCAAUGCAAUCCAGAGCUUUGAUCUGACUAAUACCAACCCCAGAAUUGCAUGGCAGUUUUUUUGCAGCUUUUUAUAUUUGUUUCUCACAAGCACUAUGCUGGGAGUUGUAACUGGUUUACUUAGUGCUUACAUCAUCAAAAAGCUAUAUUUUGGCAGGCAUUCAACAGAUCGUGAGUUUGCUCUUAUGAUGCUCAUGGCAUACCUUUCAUAUAUGUUGGCUGAACUGUUCUAUUUGAGUGGUAUUCUCACUGUAUUUUUCUGUGGGAUUGUGAUGUCCCAUUACACAUGGCACAAUGUGACUGAGAGUUCUAGAGUCACAACCAAGCAUGCUUUUGCAACCAUGUCAUUUGUUGCUGAGAUUUUUAUCUUCCUUUAUGUUGGUAUGGAUGCCUUGGACAUUGAGAAGUGGAGAUUUGUCAGCGAUAGCCCUGGAACAUCGGUUGCAGUUAGUUCAAUACUACUAGCUCUCGUUAUGGUUGGAAGGGCAGCUUUUGUUUUCCCCUUGUCCUUUUUGUCCAACUUAUCUAAGAAAUCACCUACUGAGAAGAUUGGCUUCAAGCAGCAAGUACAUGAUUCUGUUUAUUUGAUCCUAUCAGCUUAUUUUACUUUUUUUAGUUCUGAGUCCAUUGAUCUAUCAAAGCUCAUUAAUUGAUUCUCUUCAGAUUAUUAUCUGGUGGGCUGGUCUGAUGAGAGGUGCAGUGUCAAUAGCUCUUGCAUAUAAUAAGGUAGACUAUAGACAAAUAUAGACAAAUCUCCUCAAGUGGGGCUAAUAUGCGUUCACAUGUAAAAGAGAGGUUAUUGAGAUUUAGAUAUACAGAAAAAAAAGUUGGCUUUCUAUUCUGUUAAUUGAUAUUGAUGAAUUAUAUCAUUUUAUAAUUUCAUGUUAAAUAAAUGCAGUUUACAAGCUUGGGCCAUACCCAUUUACGAGGGAAUGCAAUAAUGAUUACCAGCACCAUAACUGUUGUUCUUUUCAGUACUAUGGUAAGAUAUCUCCUUGCUAGGUCGCGUAUGUUAGUAUAAUUCUUUCACUACCUUGAUAUAUUCUGUAAUUGCCUCGAGGAAACUAUUUUUUGCAACCUUAUUUUCCCGAGGUUUAUAUUUGCUUAGGAUUGGUUGCACAACAAACAACAGUGCAAUAAGGGAAAAAUCAAAAUUACAAUACCAUGUCCAUAUGCAUUCCAGCUUUAGUUUUAUGGAUUAUUGUGGUCUUGGGUGUUCAAUUAUCUUAAAUUUCAAAUGGCCGCCACAUUAAUGACUGCCUGUUCUCUAUGAUGUCUUUUUCAAACCAAAAUAAUAUUACCUUGUGUUUGGAUGGAGAAUUUGAAAUUUGAGAGUUGAAUUUGAUAAAAUUAUGAGUUUUAUUCAAUUGUUUAGAGUCAUAAAUUCAUAUUAGGAUCAUAAAUGUUAAGAACUUCUUGUUUGGUGUAGAUUUGAAUAUUUUAUCGAAUCAUGUUAUUUGAAAUCUACUCUAAAUGAGUUUUGAUAAGUAAAAGGUGUUAUUUGAAAUCAAUGAUUUAUCAAUAAUUUAUAUUAAAA